CCUACGGGAGGCAGCAGUGAGGAAUAUUGGUCAAUGGGCGCGAGCCUGAACCAGCCAAGUCGCGUGAGGGAAGACGGUCCUAUGGAUUGUAAACCUCUUUUGUCGGGGAGCAAAAGACGCCACGCGUGGCGUUCCGAGAGUACCCGAAGAAAAAGCAUCGGCCAACUCCGUGCCAUCAGCCGCGGUACUACGGAGGAUGCGAGCGUUAUCCGGAUUUAUUGGGUUUAACGGGUGCGCAGGCGGAAGGUCAAGUCAGCGGUAAAAUUGAGUGGCUCAACCUCGUCGAGCCGUUGAAACUGGUUUUCUUGAGUGAGCGAGAAGUAUGCGGAAUGCGUGGUGGAGCGGUGAAAUG
rnacentral:rRNA from 1 species